UACGUAGGGUGCAAGCGUUAAUCGGAAUUACUGGGCGUAAAGCGUGCGCAGGCGGUUCUAUAAGACAGAUGUGAAAUCCCCGGGCUCAACCUGGGAACUGCAUUUGUGACUGUAGAGCUGGAGUGCGGCAGAGGGGGGAUGGAAUUCCUGGUGUAGCAGUGAAAUGCGUAGAUAUCAGGAGGAACACCGAUGGCGAAGGCAGGUCUCUGGGCUGACACUGACGCUCAUGCACGAAAGCGUGGGGAGCAAACAGG
rnacentral:rRNA from 1 species